rnacentral:rRNA from 1 species
GACGCACGCUGGCGGCGUGCUUAACACAUGCAAGUCGAACGAGUGGCGAACGGGUGAGUCACACGUGAGUAACCUGCCCCUUCUUCUGGAUAACUGCUUGCAAGGGUCGCUAAUACGGGAUAGUGGGGGAUGGGCUCUCGGCCUAUCAGCUUGUUGGUGGGGUUAUGGCCUACCAAGGCGGUGACGGGUAGCCGGCAUGAGAGGGUGGACGGCGACACUGGUACUGUGACACGGCCCAGAUUCUUACGGGAGGCAGCAGAGGGGAAUAUGGCACAAUGGGCGCAAGCCUGAUGCAGCGACGCCUCGUGAGAGAUGGAGGCCUUCGGGUUGUAAACCUCUUUCGCCAGUGAAGCGGUAGCUGGAUAAGAAGCGCCGGCUAACUACGUGCCAGCCGCCGCGGUAAUAC